AAGGCAAUCACUAAACCUACCUUCAUUAUCACUAAAAGGAGAAUAUUAACACAAACUAUUUAGGAUUAUUGUUAUAACCUUAGUGGAGUUGUCAAUGCUGCAUCACAAUUUGUGUUAAGACAGUAUAAAUUAAAAGUUGCUUUUACAAAUACUUAAUUAUCUUUUAUUUUACAGGAAACUGUAGACUCAAAAUCAACGAGCAGUUCUACUUCUAUGAUUGGGUCACCCCUAUCUCAGACAUCCACUCAAGUAAAAAGAUGUCCCGCAAAGCACACAACACCUGAAAAUGUUGUGAAGUUAUCCUUCCCCGAAUAUGUAUUGCACACUGACACCAAACUAGAGCAAUGCCGAAAACAAUAUUUUGAGUUGGCGAAGGCCGGCGAAGAGAGAAACUGCCAAAUGUCAAAGGACCUCAGAUGUCGGCUCAUCCGAAACACCAUGACCAGUAUGAUCGCAAUCCUGAGGGCAACGGGGGACAGAGACAGAUACCCGUCAAAGCCAGAAAUAACAGCUAUGGCAAAGCGAACAGUGCUGUACUACCCCAUGCUGCAGGACCGAGACCUGAGCAGCAAGUAUGCAUGGGUAGGUCAAAUGCAUCCAGGUGCAUGUUUGAUGUUUGAAGCAUUUAUUUGAAUUUUUCUUGUCACAGGUUACUGUGUACUCACAGCUAUACAAAAGAUUGAAAAAUUUGAGAUCACCCCAAAAGACCAAUCCAAAGAGGCGCCGACUCGAGGAGCUAAAGUGCCAACCUGACUGACCCAGAUGAAUUUGAUUCAAGUGACUCAACAGUCAUUCUGGAUCUCCCCUCAAAAGGGGGUAGCAUUCAAGCAUUCAAGACUUCCCUUCUGAAGGGAGUAGCACCCCAGACUCGGGCAACAAUGCCAGAUAUGCCCGCAUCUUUGCGUAAGAAGAAAACUCCAAACCGUGAGUCCGUCUCUCAGCUCCUGGAUUUGGAAUUUUCAGCCAGAAGAGCAUUCAUUGAUUCUUUUUGCGAGGAGGACAGACACAAGAAAAUUCCAGAGGACAUUGGACAUGUGAUGGAGGAGCUUCAACGCAUUCUGGACAAAAAUAACAUCCAUUACAUUGAUGAGCUGAAGGGAAGAUGGGACGACUUCUGCCAGAAGGUGCAGUUUUUUGGUGUGUGGAAAAAGCUGCUGAAACCCUCAGUAGGAAUGGACAAAGGCUCUCAGUAUCCUACGUGUGCUGCCUUCAUUGUCCCCCUCUUCAUCUGCUCCUCUGAAGAAGUUAGGACAUGUGAGUGAGGCUCUUGUGCAUGUCCUCGAGGAAAAAGAAGACCCCAAUGACUAUUUGAAGAAACGUCGUCUCUCCUGCCCAGUCCUUAUUGUGAGUUUGUCCAACUGCCUCCUGGCUGUAGGAGAUGUGCUGAUAACUACGCUCCCAAAAGACAAGGUAACACAGGGUGUUUUAUACCUUACGGCCUACUAUUAUGCUCUACACCUUACUUACCCCAGGUGCGUAGCCACUCUGCUCUCUGUCAUAAAAACGGAGGUUCUCUUGGACACAAUCCAUGAGCGAGACCUCACACCAUCUUUCAAGAAGGGCAUGGCUGACUGGAAAGCCUUUGUUGGCAAGUAAAGCCGUUUCCAUUCUUAUUUAGCAAAUGUUUCCCAAUGUUAAGGUCGCAAUAAUAACAAUGUUGUUGAUCUAUUGAGGGACACAGUGGUCAAAUAUUUAUGUUAAUGUUAGCCCAAGACCCAUAACUUGUUGCAAUAAUAAGCACAUUGUAAGUGUAUUGAGGAGACAGAGGUCAGAUGAUUAUGUCUGACUGUAAUCCAUGUGUUACACAUAUAUGUCAUGUUUUGCUAUGUUUUUUUACUAUUAUUAGUAUUUUAUUACAGUGCCAUACACACUGCGCCAAAACAUGACUGGUGCUGCAGGCACAGUGUAACUGACUGACUGCACUGUAUUGUAAGAAUUGUUUGCUCCCUCCUGCAUUUCAGAGCUAAAGAGGCAUGCUCUUUCUUAUGCAAAUAAAAUAUUUGUUUGUUUAAUGCA